rnacentral:rRNA from 1 species
AGAGUUUGAUCCUGGCUCAGGACGAACGCUGGCGGCGCGCCUAACUCAUGCAAGUCGAACGAGAGAUGGGGAGCUUGCUCUUCAAAUCGAGUGGCGAACGGGUGAGUAACGCGUGAGGAACCUGCCUCAAAGAGGGGGACAACAGUUGGAAACGACUGCUAAUACCGCAUAAGCCCACAGCUCGGCAUCGAGCAGAGGGAAAAGGAGUGAUCCGCUUUGAGAUGGCCUCGCGUCCGAUUAGCUAGUUGGUGAGGUGACGGCCCACCAAGGCGACGAUCGGUAGCCGGACUGAGAGGUUGAACGGCCACAUUGGGACUGAGACACGGCCCAGACUCCUACGGGAGGCAGCAGUGGGGAAUAUUGCACAAUGGGGGAAACCCUGAUGCAGCGACGCCGCGUGGAGGAAGAAGGUCUUCGGAUUGUAAACUCCUGUUGUUGAGGAAGAUAAUGACGGUACUCAACAAGGAAGUGACGGCUAACUACGUGCCAGCAGCCGCGGUAAAACGUAGGUCACAAGCGUUGUCCGGAAUUACUGGGUGUAAAGGGAGCGCAGGCGGGAGAACAAGUUGGAAGUGAAAUCCAUGGGCUCAACCCAUGAACUGCUUUCAAAACUGUUUUUCUUGAGUAGUGCAGAGGUAGGCGGAAUUCCCGGUGUAGCGGUGGAAUGCGUAGAUAUCGGGAGGAACACCAGUGGCGAAGGCGGCCUACUGGGCACCAACUGACGCUGAGGCUCGAAAGUGUGGGUAGCAAACAGGAUUAGAUACCCUGGUAGUCCACACCGUAAACGAUGAUUACUAGGUGUUGGAGGAUUGACCCCUUCAGUGCCGCAGUUAACACAAUAAGUAAUCCACCUGGGGAGUACGACCGCAAGGUUGAAACUCAAAAAUUGACGGGGGCCCGCACAAGCAGUGGAGUAUGUGGUUUAAUUCGACGCAACGCGAAGAACCUUACCAAGUCUUGACAUCCCUUGACGAUGCUGGAAACAGUAUUUCUCUUCGGAGCAAGGAGACAGGUGGUGCAUGGUUGUCGUCAGCUCGUGUCGUGAGAUGUUGGGUUAAGUCCCGCAACGAGCGCAACCCUUAUGGUCAGUUACUACGCAAGAGGACUCUGGCCAGACUGCCGUUGACAAAACGGAGGAAGGUGGGGAUGACGUCAAAUCAUCAUGCCCUUUAUGACUUGGGCUACACACGUACUACAAUGGCGUUAAACAAAGAGAAGCAAGACCGCGAGGUGGAGCAAAACUCAGAAACAACGUCCCAGUUCGGACUGCAGGCUGCAACUUGCCUGCACGAAGUCGGAAUUGCUAGUAAUCGUGGAUCAGCAUGCCACGGUGAAUACGUUCCCGGGCCUUGUACACACCGCCCGUCACACCAUGAGAGCCGGGGGGACCCGAAGCCGGUAGUCUAACCGCAAGGAGGACGCCGCCGAAGGUAAAACUGGUGAUUGGGGUGAAGUCGGAACAAGGU